GCAGCCGCGGUUAAUACGUAGGGCAGCGAGUGUUGUUCGGAAUUACUGGGCGUAAAGAGUGUGUAGGCGGUGCUCUAAGUUCGGUGUGAAAUCUCCUGGCUUAACUGGGAGGGUGCGCCGGAAACUGGAGUGCUCGAGCGUGGGAGAGGAAAGCGGAAUUCCUGGUGUAGCGGUGAAAUGCGUAGAUAUCAGGAGGAACACCUGCGGUGUAGACGGCUUUCUGGACCAUUGCUGACGCUGAGACACGAAAGCGUGGGUAGCAAACAGGAUUAGAUANCCCUGGUAGUCCACGCCCUAAACGAUGCAUACUUGGUGUCGGCCAUUCAGUUGGUCGGUGCCGGAGCUAACGCGUUAAGUAUGCCGCCUGGGGAGUACGGUCGCGAGGCUGAAACUCAAAGGAAUUGACGGGGGCCCGCACAAGCGGUGGAGCAUGUGGUUUAAUUCGACGCAACGCGAAGAACCUUACCUGGGCUCGAACGGCUUCUCAACGGCAGUGGAAACAUUGCUAUCCCCUUAAAAGGAGUGGAGUCGAGGUGCUGCA
rnacentral:rRNA from 1 species